AGAUUGAACGCUGGCGGCAUGCCUUACACAUGCAAGUCGAACGGCAGCACGGGAGCAAUCCUGGUGGCGAGUGGCGAACGGGUGAGUAAGUACAUCGGAACGUGCCCAAUCGUGGGGGAUAACGCAGCGAAAGCUGUGCUAAUACCGCAUAAGAUCUACGGAUGAAAGCAGGGGAUCGCAAGACCUUGCGCGAAUGGAGCGGCCGAUGGCAGAUUAGGUAGUUGGUGAAGUAAAGGCUCACCAAGCCUUCGAUCGGUAGCUGGUCUGAGAGGACGACAGCCACACUGGGACUGAGACACGCCCAGACUCCUACGGGAGCAGCAGUGGGGAAUUUGGACAAGUGGGCGAAAGCCUGAUCCAGCCAUGACCGCGUGCAGGAUGGAAGGUCCGUUACGGGUU
rnacentral:rRNA from 1 species